GAUGAACGCUGGCGGCGUGCCUAAUACAUGCAAGUCGAGCGAACAGACGAGGAGCUUGCUCCUCUGACGUUAGCGGCGGACGGGUGAGUAACACGUGGAUAACCUACCUAUAAGACUGGGAUAACUUCGGGAAACCGGAGCUAAUACCGGAUAAUAUAUUGAACCGCAUGGUUCAAUAGUGAAAGACGGUUUUGCUGUCACUUAUAGAUGGAUCCGCGCCGCAUUAGCUAGUUGGUAAGGUAACGGCUUACCAAGGCGACGAUGCGUAGCCGACCUGAGAGGGUGAUCGGCCACACUGGAACUGAGACACGGUCCAGACUCCUACGGGAGGCAGCAGUAGGGAAUCUUCCGCAAUGGGCGAAAGCCUGACGGAGCAAAGCCGCGUGAGUGAUGAAGGUCUUCGGAUCGUAAAACUCUGUUAUUAGGGAAGAACAAAUGUGUAAGUAACUAUGCACGUCUUGACGGUACCUAAUCAGAAAGCCCCGGCUAACUACGUG
rnacentral:rRNA from 1 species